UACAUGGGGUGCAAACGUUGCUCGGAAUUACUGGGCGUAAAGCGUGCGCAGGCGGUUCGCUGUGUCCUGUGUGAAAGCCCCGGGCUUAACCUGGGAAUGGCAUGGGAAACUGGCGGGCUGGAGUGUGGCAGAGGGGGGUGGAAUUCCGCGUGUAGCAGUGAAAUGCGUAGAGAUGCGGAGGAACACCGAUGGCGAAGGCAGCCCCCUGGGCUAACACUGACGCUCAGGCACGAAAGCGUGGGGAGCAAACAGG
rnacentral:rRNA from 1 species